rnacentral:rRNA from 1 species
UCGCCUACGGGGCGCAGCAGUGAGGAAUAUUGGUCAAUGGGCGGGAGCCUGAACCAGCCAAGUCGCGUGAGGGAAGAAGGUACUGAGUAUUGUAAACCUCUUUUGCCAGGGGACAAAGGCGGCCACGGGUGGCCGUAAGAGGGUACCUGGAGAAAAAGCAUCGGCUAACUCCGUGCCAGCAGCCGCGGUAAUAUGGAGGGUGCGAGCGUUAAUCGGAAUUACUGGGCGUAAAGCGCUCGUAGGCGGUAUGUCAAGUCAAGGGUGAAAUCCCCGCGCUCAACGUGGGAACUGCCUUUGAAACUGGC